UACGGAGGAUGCGAGCGUUAUCCGGAUUUAUUGGGUUUGAGGGGUGCGUAGGCGGACUGUCAAGUCAGCGGUAAAAUUGAGAGGCUCAACCUCUUCCCGCCGUUGAAACUGGUGGUCUUGAGUGGAUGAGAAGUACGCGGAAUGCGUGGUGUAGCGGUGAAAUGCAUAGAUAUCACGCAGAACUCCGAUUGCGAAGGCAGCGUACCGGCAUCCAACUGACGCUGAGGCACGAAAGCGUGGGGAUCAAACAGG
rnacentral:rRNA from 1 species